AGCUCCAAUAGCGUAUAUUUAAGUUGUUGCAGUUAAAAAGCUCGUAGUUGGAUUUCGGGGGGCGUCCAGCGGUCUCGCUUCGCGUCUGCACUGCUGGACGCCUCCUUCUUGCCGGAGACGGGCCUACGGGCUUUGUUGCCUGGGGCGCGGACUCGGCGACGUUACUUUGAGUAAAUUAGAGUGUUCAAAGCAAGCUUACGCUCUGCAUACGAUAGCAUGGGAUAACACGAAAGGACUCUGGCCUAUCGUGUUGGUCUGUAGGACCAGAGUAAUGAUUAAGAGGGACAGUCGGGGGCAUUCGUAUUCCGUUGUCAGAGGUGAAAUUCUUGGAUUCACGGAAGACGAACAUCUGCGAAAGCAUUUGCCAAGGAUGUUUUCA
rnacentral:rRNA from 1 species